CCUACUUUUUAUGUCCAUUCCUACGGCUGCAGGGCCAUGUCCUGUGAUUGGCAGCUCCUCAGAACCACAUGGAGUGGAAGAGCUGUUCCUAGAAAUAGGGUGCUUGUUAUUCUGAGAGGCGGAACAGGCACACGGCUCGAAUUAUCAGAAAAGCCGUUGAGAUAAGACAUGCAUGAUCUCCUUCCUAAAGAGGACAAGAAUGACAGCCACGUCAUCUGGAGAAGGCAGCCAGGGAAGUUGUUGGCCAAGCUUUGCUGGCUUUUUUGCAGCUUUCUGUUCCCGCAAGUUACUCCCCCAAAUCCUACCUAUUUUAAAAGCAACUCUCACAGGAAGAAAGGCUUGGUAGCCAACAGAUGACCACCACAUUCUCUCCCCCAAGACGUCUGAUUUCAGAAGGCAAGAAUUCAAGAAUGAAUAUUUACUGCCUAUAUCUGACAGAAGAAUCCCAUUUCUCAUGAGAAAAUCAAUGGAUAAUACUCAGCGUUUCUUCAAAACCAAAACUUCCUUUAUCAAAACCUGUAGAACACAGGUUUCAGCAAACUUCGUAAAAUAUUCAGAUCAAAUUUGGGUUUGUUAUUGAUUUUCAGGGGGAUUAAUCUCUUUUAUAUUAAAAGCUCAUUUGGUCACAAG
rnacentral:lncRNA from 10 species